rnacentral:rRNA from 1 species
UACGUAGGGUGCAGGCGUUAAUCGGAAUUACUGGGCGUAAAGCGUGCGCAGGCGGUUUCUUAAGUCAGAUGUGAAAGCCCCGGGCUUAACCUGGGAACUGCGUUUGAAACUGGGAGACUUGAGUGUGGCAGAGGGGGGUGGAAUUCCACGUGUAGCAGUGAAAUGCGUAGAUAUGUGGAGGAACACCGAUGGCGAAGGCAGCCCCCUGGGUCAAAACUGACGCUCAUGCACGAAAGCGUGGGGAGCAAACAGG